GACUCUGCUUAGAGCCCCCCACAAGAAGAAGGUCCUCACCAGAUGUGUCCCCUGGACCUCGGACCUCCCAGCCUCCAGAAGUUGAUGUCCCAGAUAGAGGUCAUUCCAUUGGCCUGGAUCCCAACAAGAAGAUGACGUGCAACAGAGCCAUAACCUGCCUGUGAUUGACAUGUAAUCUGAAUGAGAAAUAAACCUGUAUGGUUGUAAGAUUUA